ACUCCUACGGGAGGCAGCAGUAGGGAANNUGCGCAAUGGAGGGAACUCUGACGCAGCGACGCCGCGUGAGCGAUGAAGGUCUUCGGAUCGUAAAGCUCUGUCCUCAGGGAAGAAGGUUAUUAACUUGACGGUACCAUAGGAGGAAGCCACGGCUAACUACGUGCCAGCAGCCGCGGUAAUACGUAGGUGGCAAGCGUUGUCCGGAAUUACUGGGCGUAAAGGGCACGCAGGCGGAUAUUUAAGUCAGAUGUGUAAUCUAUAGGCUUAACCUGUAGUUUGGAUCUGAAACUGGAUAUCUUGAGGGUAGGAGAGGACAGUGGAAUUCCUAGUGUAGCGGUGAAAUGCGUAGAUAUUAGGAGGAACACCAGUGGCGAAGGCGGCUGUCUGGCCUACAACUGACGCUGAGGUGCGAAAGCGCGGGUAGCAAACAGGAUUAGAUACCCUGGUAGUC
rnacentral:rRNA from 1 species